rnacentral:tRNA from 1 species
CGGGCUGUAGCGCAGUUGGCUUAGCGCGCCGCGUUCGGGUCGCGGAGGUCGUGGGUUCAAGUCCCGCCAGCCCGACCA